AGUGAACGCUGGCGGUAGGCCUAACACAUGCAAGUCGAACGGCAGCACAGUAAGAGCUUGCUCUUACGGGUGGCGAGUGGCGGACGGGUGAGGAAUACAUCGGAAUCUACUUUUUCGUGGGGGAUAACGUAGGGAAACAUACGCUAAUACCGCAUACGACCUACGGGUGAAAGCAGGGGAUCUUCGGACCUUGCGCGAUUGAAUGAGCCGAUGUCGGAUUAGCUAGUUGGCGGGGUAAAGGCCCACCAAGGCGACGAUCCGUAGCUGGUCUGAGAGGAUGAUCAGCCACACUGGAACUGAGACACGGUCCAGACUCCUACGGGAGGCAGCAGUGGGGAAUAUUGGACAAUGGGCGCAAGCCUGAUCCAGCCAUGCCGCGUGGGUGAAGAAGGCCUUCGGGUUGUAAAGCCCUUUUGUUGGGAAAGAAAAGCAGCAGGUUAAUACCCCGCUGUUCUGACGGUACCCAAAGAAUAAGCACCGGCUAACUUCGUG
rnacentral:rRNA from 1 species